GUGUUCACUUUGUUAGCACAUAUACUAAAACUGGAAUGACACAGAGAAGAUUAGCAUAGCCUGUGUGCAAGGAAAAAAAGUGAGAAAAAUAAAGGUGACUGAAUGUA
ensembl:snRNA U6 U6 spliceosomal RNA